rnacentral:rRNA from 1 species
UCAAAAACAUGUCCUUUUGAUUUUAUUUAAGGUCUAGCCUGCCCAAUGAUUUUAUUUAAUGGCCGCGGUAUUUUAACUGUGCUAAGGUAGCAUAAUCAUUUGUCUUUUAAUUGAAGGCUGGUAUGAAUGGUUGGACGAGACAUAUUCUUUCUUUGAUUUAAUUUAUGAAUUUAAUUUUUUAGUUAAAAAGCUAAAAUUUAUUUGUUGGACGAGAAGACCCUAUAGAUCUUUAUAUUUAUUAAUUGUUUUAUUAAUUUGGUUAAUUUAUUAUUUAAAUCGAUUUAAAUAUUUGGUUGGGGUGACUUUAGAAUUUUAACAACUUCUAUUAUAAAUUUUCAUUUAUUUAUGUUUUAUUGAUCCAUUAUUAAUGAUUAUAAGAUUAAGUUACCUUAGGGAUAACAGCGUAAUUCUUUUGGAGAGUUCAUAUCUAUAGAAGAGUUUGCGACCUCGAUGUUGGAUUAAAAUAAGUAGUAGAUGCAGUAGUUUAUCAACUAGGUCUGUUCGACCUUUUAUUUUUUACAUGAUCUGAGUUCA